AGAGUUUGAUCCUGGCUCAGAACGAACGCUGGCGGCAGGCUUAAUACAUGCAAGUCGAACGCACUCUUCGGAGUGAGUGGCAGACGGGUGAGUAACACGUGGGAACCUACCCAGGGGUACGGAAUAACUCAGGGAAACUUGUGCUAAUACCGUAUACGACCUAAGGGUGAAAGAUUUAUCGUCUCUGGAUGGGCCCGCGUUGGAUUAGCUAGUUGGUGGGGUAAAGGCCUACCAAGGCGACGAUCCAUAGCUGGUCUGAGAGGAUGAUCAGCCACACUGGGACUGAGACACGGCCCAGACUCCUACGGGAGGCAGCAGUAGGGAAUCUUGGACAAUGGGCGAAAGCCUGAUCCAGCCAUGCCGCGUGAGUGAUGAAGGCCUUAGGGUUGUAAAGCUCUUUCGCCAGGGAAGAUAAUGACGGUACCUGGAUAAGAAGCCCCGGCUAACUUCGUGCCAGCAGCCGCGGUAAUACGAAGGGGGCUAGCGUUGUUCGGAAUUACUGGGCGUAAAGCGCACGUAGGCGGUUUUCCAAGUUGGAGGUGAAAUCCCUGGGCUUAACCCAGGAACUGCCCCCAAAACUGGAUGACUCGAGUCCGAGAGAGGUGAGUGGAAUUUCCAGUGUAGAGGUGAAAUUCGUAGAUAUUGGAAAGAACACCAGUGGCGAAGGCGGCUCACUGGCUCGGUACUGACGCUGAGGUGCGACAGCGUGGGGAGCAAACAGGAUUAGAUACCCUAGUAGUCC
rnacentral:rRNA from 1 species